UACGGGGGGGGCAAGCGUUGUUCGGAAUUACUGGGCGUAAAGGGUUCGUAGGUGGCCAACUAAGUCAGACGUGAAAUCCCUCGGCUUAACCGGGGAACUGCGUCUGAUACUGGAUGGCUGGAGUUUGGGAGAGGGAUGCGGAAUUCCAGGUGUAGCGGUGAAAUGCGUAGAUAUCUGGAGGAACACCGGUGGCGAAGGCGGCAUCCUGGACCAACACUGACGCUCAUGUGCGAAAGCGUGGGGAGCAAACAGG
rnacentral:rRNA from 1 species